GACGAACGCUGGCGGCGUGCUUAACACAUGCAAGUCGAACGGUAAGGCCCUGCUUUUGUGGGGUGCUCGAGUGGCGAACGGGUGAGUAACACGUGAGUAACCUGCCCUUGACUUUGGGAUAACUUCAGGAAACUGGGGCUAAUACCGGAUAGGAGCUCCUGCUGCAUGGUGGGGGUUGGAAAGUUUCGGCGGUUGGGGAUGGACUCGCGGCUUAUCAGCUUGUUGGUGGGGUAGUGGCUUACCAAGGCUUUGACGGGUAGCCGGCCUGAGAGGGUGACCGGCCACAUUGGGACUGAGAUACGGCCCAGACUCCUACGGGAGGCAGCAGUGGGGAAUAUUGCACAAUGGGCGGAAGCCUGAUGCAGCAACGCCGCGUGCGGGAUGACGGCCUUCGGGUUGUAAACCGCUUUCGCCUGUGACGAAGCGUGAGUGACGGUAAUGGGUAAAGAAGCACCGGCUAACUACGUG
rnacentral:rRNA from 1 species